UCUCGAUCCUUUAGGGUUUUCAGAUUUCGUCACUCCAUCUUUCUCGAUCCGUAAGGGUUUUUGAGGUCUAGGUCUUGAUCUUGAUCUUGGUAUGGCUUUAGGGUUAGGGUCUUAGUCGAAGAUUCAUUGAUUUGGAUCUUGGUGUGGCUUUAGGGUUAGGGUUUUAGAUGAAGAUUCCUUGAUUUCGAGAAGAAAGCCUCUGCUUGACUGAGAAAAUGAGAGACGAAUGUGAAUGUCUCGUCAUUGAUAACAAGAGGAGGUAGAGCGAACGGAAAGGCGAGAUAUCGUUUCAGUCGUCAUUACUCUGGAUUGGCGAUUCGAUUGUUGCUCGUCUACAUUUCUUUCUUACUAAUGUUUUUUAUCUUAUUUUCCUCUGGGAAAAUUAUUGGGUGAAAUGGGAGGGUUGUUUCUUCACUUCGAACGGAUUGGAGAGUUAUAACUUAUUUCUCCAUGCGGAAUGCUCUACGCCCUAAUGCACUCUCGUUUUUCUUGCAUAAUGUUUUUUUUUUACCCCAGAAAAUAAAA